AGGUAGGCCUCCUUGGGCAGAAAUGACUUGCCCAAGUCUCUUACCAAUGACUUAUGAAGGUCACAGGUGCCACCCCACCUUCCACCUCCUGCUCUCCUCAAACCCAGGCAAAGCCUCCAGAGUUUCCCAGAAACUGAGAAAAGAUGUUUGUAUACAUGCCUUUCUUCCUGUUACACUGUAUGUAAACUCCUUGAGAGCAGCUGAGUCUGUGUUAUGUCUUUAUACCUCCGAGCUCAGAGAAUGACUACUGGCCUGUAACAUCAGGGGACCUGGAUUCAAAUCUCACUUCUGAUGCUUACUACCUAUGAACCUUUGGGCAAAUCACUUAACUGCCCUGGGCCUCAGUUUCCUCAUCUGUAAAAGGAGAGAGUUGGAUCAGAUGACAUCUGUGUUCUCUUCUAGCUCGACAACUGUAUGACCUCUCAGAGGAAGCUGUCUCAUCAGGCUUUCCAAACUAAACCAACCUCUGCUUUGUCCUCGCUCCCUCUCUUAGACCUAUUCUCUCCUCCACUCAACCCCACCCCCACCUCCCAAGCCUUGCUCUGGCUUCCCCCAAUCCCCACCAAGCCCUCAACCUCCCACAGAGCACUGUUCUGAACGGACGUGCCGAGAGAGGCAGCCUGACUGCA